GCCGGCGUAGCUCAGCGGUAGAGCAUCGGUUUUGUAAACCGAGGGUCGCAGGUUCAAUCCCUGCCGCCGGCU
rnacentral:tRNA from 1 species